rnacentral:rRNA from 1 species
GACGAACGCUGGCGGCGUGCUUAACACAUGCAAGUCGAACGGAAAGGCCCUGCUUUUGUGGGGUGCUCGAGUGGCGAACGGGUGAGUAACACGUGAGUAACCUGCCCUUGACUUUGGGAUAACUUCAGGAAACUGGGGCUAAUACCGGAUAGGAGCUCCUGCUGCAUGGUGGGGGUUGGAAAGUUUCGGCGGUUGGGGAUGGACUCGCGGCUUAUCAGCUUGUUGGUGGGGUAGUGGCUUACCAAGGCUUUGACGGGUAGCCGGCCUGAGAGGGUGACCGGCCACAUUGGGACUGAGGUACGGACCAGACUCCUACGGGAGGCAGCAGUGGGGAAUAUUGCGCAAUGGGCGGAAGCCUGAUGCAGCAACGCCGCGUGCGGGAUGACGGCCUUCGGGUUGUAAACCGCUUUCGCCUGUGACGAAGCGUGAGUGACGGUAAUGGGUAAAGAAGCACCGGCUAACUACGUG